UACGUAGGGUGCAAGCGUUGUCCGGAAUUAUUGGGCGUAAAGAGCUCGUAGGCGGUUUGUCGCGUCUGCUGUGAAAACCCGAGGCUCAACCUCGGGCCUGCAGUGGGUACGGGCAGACUAGAGUGCGGUAGGGGAGAUUGGAAUUCCUGGUGUAGCGGUGGAAUGCGCAGAUAUCAGGAGGAACACCAAUGGCGAAGGCAGAUCUCUGGGCCGUAACUGACGCUGAGAGA
rnacentral:rRNA from 1 species